rnacentral:rRNA from 1 species
CCUACGGGGGGCAGCAGUGAGGAAUAUUGGUCACUGGACGCAAGUCUGAACCAGCCAUGCCGCGUGCAGGAAGACGGCUCUAUGAGUUGUAAACUGCUUUUGUACGAGGGUAAAUCCCGAUACGUGUAUCGGGUUGAAAGUAUCGUACGAAUAAGGAUCGGCUAACUCCGUGCCAGCAGCCGCGGUAAUACGGAGGAUUCAAGCGUUAUCCGGAUUUAUUGGGGUUAAAGGGUGCGUAGGCGGUUCGAUAAGUCAGAGGUGAAAGCCCGGGGCUCAACGCCGGCACUGCCUCUGAUACUGUCGGGCUAGAGUUUAGUUGCGGUAGGCGGAAUGUAUGGUGUAGCGGUGAAAUGCAUAGAGAUCAUACAGAACACCGAUUGCGAAGGCAGCUUACCAAACUACGACUGACGUUGAGGCACGAAAGCGUGGGGAGCAAACAGGAUUAGAUACCCGUGUAGUC